rnacentral:rRNA from 1 species
CCCGCUGAACUUAAGCAUAUCAAUAAGCGGAGGAAAAGAAACCAACAGGGAUUGCCUCAGUAACGGCGAGUGAAGCGGCAAGAGCUCAAAUUUGAAAGCUGGCUCCUUCGGGGUCCGCAUUGUAAUUUGCAGAGGAUGUUUCGGGAGCAGCCCCCAUCUAAGUGUCCUGGAACGGACCGUCAUAGAGGGUGAGAAUCCCGUAUGGGAUGGGGUGUCUGCGCCCAUGUGAAACUCCUUCGACGAGUCGAGUUGUUUGGGAAUGCAGCUCUAAAUGGGUGGUAAAUUUCAUCUAAAGCUAAAUAUUGGCCGGAGACCGAUAGCGCACAAGUAGAGUGAUCGAAAGAUGAAAAGCACUUUGAAAAGAGAGUUAAAAAGCACGUGAAAUUGUUGAAAGGGAAACGCUUGAAGUCAGUCACGUUUGCUUGGACUCAGCCUUACUUCGGUUUGGUGCAUUUCCUUGCAGACGGGCCAGCGUCCAUGUUGUUUGCCGGAGAAGGGGUUGAGGGAAUGUGGCUCCUUCGGGAGUGUUAUAGCCCUCACUCGUAUGCGGGGAGUGAUAUGGAGUGACACAGCACGCUUCGGUGGUGCUUGUGCUGGCAUAAUGGCUUUAAACGACCCGUCUUGAAACACGG